UUUACUGGCUGCAGAAACUAAUACAUAUCCAAAGUCUUUCCUUCAUUAUGAAGAGCUUUGGGUUACCCUGAGAUCACAAAAGUCAUAAUUUAAAACCAAAUGCUUAUGACAUCAGUGUAAAACAUUUGCAGCACUGCCAGUAUUCUGCAUGCUACGGUGCCACAUGCCUACUCGAUUCUUUCUUUGGGACAGAGGCUGGGUGAAGGAAAGGCAGCUGGUGCUGCUCGAGGUGCUGCAGGAAGUCAUCUGUUCAGAGCUGGCUGCAACGGAGAGUUUCCAAAUAUUGUCUUAUCUCUGAUGUAUCAUCAUCUGUUAUGGAGGAGGGGCCACUGCACAAGAUAUAAAAAAGCUGCAGAAGGUUGCAAAUUCAGCCACCUUCGCAGGGAACUAGCCUCACCAGCAUUGAGGGCAUCUUCAAAAGAUGGCAUCCAUAAUGAAGAACUGUCCUCAUCCAUGACAUGCUCCCUUCUUAACUGGGAGGAGGUCCAGGAGCCUGAAGACAGAUACUCAAUGUUUAAGCCUUCCUGCUAUGUGGUUCACGCAUGCUGCCUCUGCCUCCUGGAAUCCUCUCGGAGACUGCGGAUUGCUGGAACAUCCAAACAAUCUCCAAACAGCAAAUCACAGGCUUCAGCAGUUCCAGAAUCUCAU